AUGGACCGGGAGGGCCCCCGGCACCCGGGAUGCCACCGGCGCGGGCACCUGCUGGCUCUGACUGUCACUCUCCUCCUCACCUGCGGGCCAGGGCACACUGCGUCAACUGCUGCUAGACCAUCCUUGACGAGACAGACCAAAAGGGCUGAAACCACAGUGGAAAAGGUUACUAAAUCCACCAGAGACAAUGUCCCAGUGGAUAUAGCUAAAGUUGUGACCAUCGUGAAGAAGACGGACCAGUCCAUUACAUCCUUAGAUAAGAUGAAAGAAAAUACUGUAAGUUUGAAUGUCAAAAGGACGACACAGUUCUUACAGAUGAUGAACACUACACUCCAUGAGUUAUCGUCUAGAAGAAGUAACAAUUUAAAGCAAACAAAAACCCCCAAAUUGAAUCAAGCAGUAAUGACAACAGUGGGAAGGACCACGUCCACUACAUCAGCAGAGCUCCACUCCAGAAGCAACGCCAAGCACUCUCCCACACCCAGAACAUGUGGACCUGAGGACACAACCUUCCCCACCCCAACAGGUCACCCUGAGGCAACAUCCCAAGGCAGCCAUGACUCAGACCCAGCAACGACAGUGCCCAGCGCUGCGCCCAGGACAAAAGACAGGGGCGGGGCAAGCUUGGAACCUGGCACAGGCUCGCCUCCCAGUCUGACGGGCAGCACGGUUGCGACGCCCGCCACUUCGGAGGCCCCCGCACGUCCCGAGGCGGUCCGCCCUGCCGAAAACGCGGCCGCGACCCACGUGGGCACCACCAGGCCCGGCCCGGCGUCCCAGUCCUCUGGCCCGGCGGCCUCGCAGCCCUGGAAAGGCACCUCGGCCCCGGCCACCUCUGCCGCCGGGACGGCCACCAGCGUGGCCCCGUCAAGGCCUGGCUCGGCCGGAACGACACAGGUGGAGGCAGAGUCGGGGUCCGCCGGGGGCCCCGGGCUCACGGACGCCAGCACCUUCCCCCAGCAGCCCGGCUCGGCCGCCCGGACCACCUCGGCUCUUUCCCAGGCGCCCACGGCUACUCCAGCGGGGGACCCCGGGACCGCGGCCGUGUCCUCCAGCGGGCCCUCCAGCCCGGACCUCGCUCGGUCCACGACGUCGGCAGAGCUCCGCGCGGGCAGCACCGCCUGGCCCCCUCCCGCCCCCAGCACGCCAGGAGCGGCGGACCCGACCGUCCCCAGCCCAACAGGUCCCCCUGAGGCCACCUCCCAAGGCGCCCGGCCCUCGGACCCGGCAGCCACUGCCCCCCGCGCUCUGGCGAGGACCACCGACAUGGGCGGCGCCAGCUUGCAACCUGGCACAGGCUCGCCUCCCAGUCUGACGGGCAGCACGGUUGCGACGCCCGCCACUUCGGAGGCCCCCGCACGUCCCGAGGCGGUCCGCCCUGCCGAAAACGCGGCCGCGACCCACGUGGGCACCACCAGGCCCGGCCCGGCGUCCCAGUCCUCUGGCCCGGCGGCCUCGCAGCCCUGGAAAGGCACCUCGGCCCCGGCCACCUCUGCCGCCGGGACGGCCACCAGCGUGGCCCCGUCAAGGCCUGGCUCGGCCGGAACGACACAGGUGGAGGCAGAGUCGGGGUCCGCCGGGGGCCCCGGGCUCACGGACGCCAGCACCUUCCCCCAGCAGCCCGGCUCGGCCGCCCGGACCACCUCGGCUCUUUCCCAGGCGCCCACGGCUACUCCAGCGGGGGACCCCGGGACCGCGGCCAUGUCCUCCAGCGGGCCCUCCAGCCCGGACCUCGCUCGGUCCACGACGUCGGCAGAGCUCCGCGCGGGCAGCACCGCCUGGCCCCCUCCCGCCCCCAGCACGCCAGGAGCGGCGGACCCGACCGUCCCCACCCCAACAGGUCACCCUGAGGCAACAUCCCAAGGCAGCCAUGACUCAGACCCAGCAACGACAGUGCCCAGCGCUGCGCCCAGGACAAAAGACAGGGCAGGGUAACCUUAGAACCUCUGACAGGCUCCCAUCGAAUGCUGACGGGCACCAUGUCUGUGACACCACGAACUUCGGAGGCCCCCGCAGGUCCCGAGGAAGUCCGCGCUGCCGAAAACGCGGCCGCGACCCACGUGGGCACCACCAGGCCCGGCCCGGCGUCCCAGUCCUCUGGCCCGGCGGCCUCGCAGCCCUGGAAAGGCACCUCGGCCCCGGCCACCUCUGCCGCCGGGACGGCCACCAGCGUGGCCCCGUCAAGGCCUGGCUCGGCCGGAACGACACAGGUGGAGGCAGAGUCGGGGUCCGCCGGGGGCCCCGGGCUCACGGACGCCAGCACCUUCCCCCAGCAGCCCGGCUCGGCCGCCCGGACCACCUCGGCUCUUUCCCAGGCGCCCACGGCUACUCCAGCGGGGGACCCCGGGACCGCGGCCGUGUCCUCCCGCGGGCCCUCCAGCCCGGACCUCGCUCGGUCCACGACGUCGGCAGAGCUCCGCGCGGGCAGCACCGCCUGGCCCCCUCCCGCCCCCAGCACGCCACGAGCGGCGGACCCGACCGUCCCCAGCCCAACAGGUCCCCCUGAGGCCACCUCCCAAGGCGCCCGGCCCUCGGACCCGGCAGCCACUGCCCCCCGCGCUCUGGCGAGGACCACCGACAUGGGCGGCGCCAGCUUGCAACCUGGCACAGGCUCGCCUCCCAGUCUGACGGGCAGCACGGUUGCGACGCCCGCCACUUCGGAGGCCCCCGCACGUCCCGAGGCGGUCCGCCCUGCCGAAAACGCGGCCGCGACCCACGUGGGCACCACCAGGCCCGGCCCGGCGUCCCAGUCCUCUGGCCCGGCGGCCUCGCAGCCCUGGAAAGGCACCUCGGCCCCGGCCACCUCUGCCGCCGGGACGGCCACCAGCGUGGCCCCGUCAAGGCCUGGCUCGGCCGGAACGACACAGGUGGAGGCAGAGUCGGGGUCCGCCGGGGGCCCCGGGCUCACGGACGCCAGCACCUUCCCCCAGCAGCC
rnacentral:lncRNA from 1 species